CCUUAGUUUACACAAAAUAUCAAAUUCAAAUAAAAUCAAACUCUCAAGGAAAACAAAAUUUAAAUUUGGGCUCUAUUUAAAAUAACAAAAAAAAGAAAAAAAGAACUUUCAAGGAAAGGCUUACAAAUCGUUAGUUCGUGAAUUCAGUUAACCCACAAAGUUUUCUAAACAGUCUCGAGUACUAAAACGUAAUAAGAAAAUAAAACAUUAAGCGGAAGCAAAUUAAAAUAUCCCCUAUGACAAUCACGUUUCCUUUCUGCCCCUCGCCGGUUUGCCUCCCUUGUUACCUUUGCCUCUCCCUUAUUACCUUUGCCUGAAAAAGUUAAACAUAAAAGGGGUGAGUAUAAAUAUACCCAGUAAAAGACCCGCUACUGGUCCCAUUAGGGGAAAAAUAAAUUAUUAACUUCCUAUGGAGUACCUUGCACAGUCACAGACUUGUGAUCCAAUAGGAUACACAUAAUCAGUCUAACACCCCGAAGGACGCAUAAAACAGUCUAGUGUUCUGCAGAAACACAUAUCAGUCUAGUGCUCCCAAAGGAUGCACAUAUCAGUCUAGUGCUCUCAAAAGAUGCACAUAAAGGGUGAUAAUCCUAUAGGACACCUGCAGGGUAACUACCCAAUAGGAAACUAAUAAUUUUUUCCCUAAGUCCAUUCUAAACAUCUUAUCAGUCAAUCAUAAUACAGUCAAAUUACCUGAACACAUGAUCCCUUCACUUAAUACCCUAACAGUCAACUUAGUGCAUUUUAGCCCAAGUCAGUCAGUAACAUAUCAACACAUCAGUCAAACAAACUAAGUAAUCAUAACAUCCCCUUAGUUCACUAGCACACAACCAUACUUGAUAUAACUUACACCCGGUCCACAUGACAGCCAACAAGUUCACAUUCACAUAUUAUAUAAGCAACAUCCACAAUUUGCAGUCAUUUCACAUCCAAAAGUGUAUAUAUAUCACAACUGACGUACAAUCUCAAUUUAGUGAUAACAUACCGUCAACAUAUUCUACUUUAUAGGUGAGUCCAGUAGUAGAAAAUCUCUUACCUCAAGGUUCCUCAAUUUCUCGAACAACUAUAUCCAACGAAAGACACCUAACCAUAAGAAUAAAAUAACUCAAUUAUUUCCACAAAACAACUCCCACCUAAUUUCCUCAAGGCAAAAAUUUAGCUUACCAAGGUAUUGGCGAACCAAGCUCAAAAUUCACAAAUUGGUUGUGAAUUCAAGUGACCCAACAUUAUUGCCAACACCUUCAAGAAUCAAAUAACAAAUUAAUCAACUAUUCCAACCAUAACGUUUGAACACUUAAAACAAUUACAAUCCAUAACCUAAAUUAUUACCAAUAAAACAACUUUGACGAUUCACAGACGAAAGAAGCAGCGACUAUCGAUCCCAAUGAAAAUAAUCGUGCAAACUUAUCUGAGUGUAAGCUGGCUUGUAACUCACAGUUGGAAGUCGAAAAGUCGUGGCGGCGCGGGGCAUUGGGCGGACGGUUGAUGAAGCGAGCGGCGACUUCAUGAAUCGGGACAAACGAAGACGGAAUGAAAAAACUAAGCGACGACGCUUCGACUUUAGCCCGACGAACGGUGGCGUGCACGGCCGCUGGGCUUUGUCAGACAGAAAAGAAGAAGAUGGUGGCAGAACGUUUCAGCUUCGACAGAGACAGCACCGAUGACGGCGGUGGCUACCGAAGACAUUGCUUUGUGGCGUGACUGGCCGAAACAGGAGAAUGGGGGAAAGAUUUUGGAGGCAGGCGGUGACUGGGUAAAGAAGAGAUGAGGCGAGGGGGGGG
rnacentral:lncRNA from 1 species